rnacentral:rRNA from 1 species
UGGGGAAUAUUGCGCAAUGGGGGCAACCCUGACGCAGCAAUACCGCGUGAGUGAAGAAGGUUUUCGGAUCGUAAAGCUCUGUUAUUGGGGAAGAAGAAUGACGGUACCCAAUGAGGAAGUCCCGGCUAACUACGUGCCAGCAGCCGCGGUAAUACGUAGGGGACAAGCGUUGUCCGGAAUGACUGGGCGUAAAGGGCGCGUAGGCGGUCUGAUAAGUCAGAUGUGAAAGGUACCGGCUCAACCGGUGACGUGCAUUUGAAACUGUCAGACUUGAGUAUUGGAGAGGCAAGUGGAAUUCCUAGUGUAGCGGUGAAAUGCGUAGAUAUUAGGAGGAACACCAGUGGCGAAGGCGGCUUGCUGGACAAAUACUGACGCUGAGGUGCGAAAGCGUGGGGAGCGAACAGG